rnacentral:rRNA from 1 species
GACGAACGCUGGCGGCGUGCUUAACACAUGCAAGUCGAACGGAAAGGCCCUGCUUUUGUGGGGUGCACGAGUGGCGAACGGGUGAGUAACACGUGAGUAACCUGCCCUUGACUUUGUGAUAACUUCAGGAAACUGGGGCUAAUACCGGAUAGGAGCUCCUGCUGCAUGGUGUGGGUUGGUAAGUUUCGGCGGUAGGGGAUGGACUCGCGGCUUAUCAGCUUGUUGGUGGGGUAGUGGCUUACCAAGGUUUUGACGGGUAGCCUGCCUGAGAGGGUGACCGGCCACAUUGGGACUGAGAUACGGCCCAGACUCCUACGGGAGGCAGCAGUGGGGAAUAUUGCACAAUGGGCGGAAGCCUGAUGCAGCAACGCCGCGUGCGGGAUGACGGCCUUCGGGUUGUAAACCGCUUUCGCCUGUGACGAAGCGUGAGUGACGGUAAUGGGUAAAGAAGCACCGGCUAACUACGUG